rfam:Tolumonas auensis DSM 9187, complete genome.
CGUGUGGUGUCUGGCUUCGGGUCAGAUGGCGACACGGCCUGAAUCAGAGGU